CCCUUAGAUGUUCUGGGCCGCACGCGCGCUACACUGAUUCAUGCAACAAGUUUUGUCCUUGGCUGAUAGGCCUGGGUAAUCUUUGAACGUGUAUCGUGAUGGGGAUAGAUGAUUGCAAUUAUUCAUCUUCAACGAGGAAUUCCUAGUAAACGCAAGUCAUCAGCUUGCAUUGAUUACGUCCCUGCCCUUUGUACACACCGCCCGUCGCACCUACCGAUUGAAUGGUCCGGUGAAAUCUUCGGAUCUGAGAGAUGUCUGAUUAAUUUCGGACGCCUUUUGGAAAAGUUGUUUAAACCUUACCAUUUAGAGGAAGGUGAAGUCGUAACA
rnacentral:rRNA from 1 species